UUGGAGGGCAAGUCUGGUGCCAGCAGCCGCGGUAAUUCCAGCUCCAAUAGCGUAUAUUAAAGUUGUUGCAGUUAAAAAGCUCGUAGUUGAAUUUCGGGAUUGACGUGAUGGUCAUGCCUUAAGGGGUAUGAACUGUCACUGUUGAUUUCUCACCUUCUGGAGAAACUUGAUGUCCUUUAUUGGGUGUCUUGCGGAUCCAGGACCUUUACCUUGAAAAAAUUAGAGUGUUUAAAGCAGGCAUUUUUGCUCGAAUACAUUAGCAUGGAAUAAUAGAAUAGGACGGCAUGGUUCUAUUUUGUUGGUUUCUAGGAUCACCGUAAUGAUUAAUAGGGAUAGUUGGGGGCAUUAGUAUUCAAUUGUCAGAGGUGAAAUUCUUGGAUUUAUUGAAGACUAACUACUGCGAAAGCAUUUGCCAAGUAUGUUUUCAUUAAUCAAGAACGAAAGUUAGGGGAUCGAAGACGAUCAGAUACCGUCGUAGUCUUAACCAUAAACUAUGCCGACUAGGAAUCAGACGAUGUUAAUUUUUUAAUGACUCGUUUGGCACCUUACGGGAAACCAAAGUGUUUGGGUUC
rnacentral:rRNA from 1 species